AUAACCACAAAAUGACCACUCUGUUUCUGACGUGUAGGGAUCAGGUUCUGGUUGGUCAGUUUCUGUCUUGCCCACUAAAAUGAAAGACAAACAGACUUACCCUGGGCCUGUGAUGGGAGUAGCAGCCCUGAUGAUCUCUAAAAUGUCUGCGGGGAAUCGUUUUAUUUUAUUGAAAGAUAACUAUGUUCUCAACCUUCCUUCAUUGCAUUUGUGGCUUGCAGAAUGGCAGCUCUUACCAGAAACUGACCCUGUUGGGCCUUGAUCUGAAACUUCAAGCCUCCAGAAUGGAGUUACUGAUUCUGACCGAACUCAGUGGCUCAAUAAACAACUUUGCUAUCUCAGAAAAUCACCCUCUUUGCCAGCAAGAUGUUUGGAGUCAUUCCAAGAAAAAGAGAGAAAAAAAAAUUCUGGUCAAUGGAGAGACGGGACCACAUUGAAAGGUCUACAACCAAGCCUGAGAAGGUGAAGAUGACAUGCUCUACAUAUUCCACCUGUCAGUAUGACACCAGAGCAUCCUGGCCCCAUUGAAAAUUUCCAUGUUAUGAUGUCUAAUUCUUCAGGGUUUAUUGCUAAUGAUCAAGUUUUGCAUUGAAAAUGUAAGCUAGUUUCUUAAAUAGAUUAGAAAUGGGCUAAAACAGCUGUCUGAAUGUCACAUAUGGUCAGUCUUGUGGAGAUUAGGCUCAUAAUUCUAACAAUGGUUUCACUUUGAGAAUUAAUAAGCUUUGACUGUGAGGACUAAUGUUUGCUGCUUUCUCUACAGUCACAUUUUUCUUCCUUCAAUCCUCAAUGGCUGCAUUUCUCUCACUUUUUUGUUUAUUAUAAAGAACAUCUGUCAUUACACUUUAUAGUCUGGUAGUUACCAUCCUAAGUAAUAUGUAUUAGUCAGUAAAGAAUGGCUACUCCUGUAAAUUUGUAAAAGCUAAAAGCCACAGGGGAAAAAAUAGAAAUAGGCCAACAGAUCAUUCAAAAGCUGAAUUAAAGACCCACGUGCUUACAGGCACUGGUAUAUUACAAAGUUGGUAUUGUAUAUGGAGAGUUUAAAAGAUGAUAUUGGGAAAACUGGCUGAUUAUAUAGAUAAUAAGAAAUCUAGAUGCCCAUAUUGUACCUUACAAGAAGUUAAACAUUUAUUUUCAGCUUGUAUUUUAGACACGGGGGGUAUAUGUGCAGGUUUGUUACAUGGGUAUAUUGCACCUAGAUAGUGAGAAUACUACCCAAUAGUUAGUUUUUUGACUUGCGUCCCCCUCCCUCCACCCCCUUCCCCAGUAGCCUCACUGUCUAUUAUUCCCAUGCGCAUGUCCAUGUGUGCUCAAUGUUUAGUUCCUACUUGUAAGUGGGCACGUUCAGUAUUUGGUUUUGUGUUUCUUCGUUAAUUUGGUUAGGAUAAUGGCCUCCAUCUCCAUCUGUGUUGCUGUAAAAUACACGAUUUCCUUCUUUUUAUGGCCGUGUAAUAUUCCAUGGUGUAAAUGUGUCACAUUUUCUUUGUCCCACUGAUGGACACAUACAUUGAGAUAGAUUGAAAAUGAGUGAAAAGUAAUACUACAAUUCUAAUGAAAAUUUAGAAGCAUAUUUUCAC
rnacentral:lncRNA from 1 species